AUGCACGAUGGUACCGACUCCGUCAAGGAAUCCAAAUUGGACAUGCUUCAAAGUCAGCUUGACAAGUUCAAAAUGAAGGAUGUUGAAGGUGUCGCUGAAAUGUACUCUAGGCUUGCUCUCAUCACAAAUGAGAUUGCCGACUUAGGAAGUGAAGAGAUGACUAACAGAUUCAUCAUCAAAAAUAUCCUAAGAGCCUUGGAUGGAAAAUAUGAUACCAUGUGCACAUUGAUCCAAAUGAUGCCCUACUACAAAGAUCUCAAGCCAACGGAAGUCAUUGGAAGAAUUGUGAUAAAGAAGAGCUGCACAACAAGUCUAGUGGUGCUUACAAAGCCUCAUGUGAUGUUCCUACAUUGUCAAGUGAGAAAUAAGCCUUCAAUGAAGAAUUGA
rnacentral:rRNA from 1 species